AGUGAACGCUGGCGGUAGGCCUAACACAUGCAAGUCGAACGGCAGCACAGGAGAGCUUGCUCUCUGGGUGGCGAGUGGCGGACGGGUGAGGAAUACAUCGGAAUCUACUCUGUCGUGGGGGAUAACGUAGGGAAACUUACGCUAAUACCGCAUACGACCUACGGGUGAAAGCAGGGGACCUUCGGGCCUUGCGCGAUUGAAUGAGCCGAUGUCGGAUUAGCUAGUUGGCGGGGUAAAGGCCCACCGAGGCGACGAUCCGUAGCUGGUCUGAGAGGAUGGUAGGCCACACUGGAACUGAGACACGGUCAAGACUCCUCAGGGAGGCAGCAGUGGGGAAUAUUGGACAAUGGGCGCAAGCCUGAUCCAGCCAUACCGCGUGGGUGAAGAAGGCCUUCGGGUUGUAAAGCCCUUUUGUUGGGAAAGAAAUCCAGCUGGCUAAUACCCGGUUGGGAUGACGGUACCCAAAGAAUAAGCACCGGCUAACUUCGUGCCAGCCGCCGUAAUAC
rnacentral:rRNA from 1 species